AACGAACGCUGGCGGCAUGCCUAACACAUGCAAGUCGAACGAGACCUUCGGGUCUAGUGGCGCACGGGUGCGUAACGCGUGGGAACCUGCCCUUAGGUUCGGAAUAACUCCCCGAAAGGGGUGCUAAUACCGGAUAAUGUCUUCGGACCAAAGAUUUAUCGCCUUUGGAUGGGCCCGCGUUGGAUUAGCUAGUUGGUAGGGUAAAAGCCUAUCAAGGCGACGAUCCAUAGCUGGUCUGAGAGGAUGAUCAGCCACACUGGGACUGAGACACGGCCCAGACUCCUACGGGAGGCAGCAGUGGGGAAUAUUGGACAAUGGGCGAAAGCCUGAUCCAGCAAUGCCGCGUGAGUGAUGAAGGCCUUAGGGUUGUAAAGCUCUUUUACCCGGGAUGAUAAUGACAGUACCGGGAGAAUAAGCUCCGGCUAGCUCCGUG
rnacentral:rRNA from 1 species